UGGGGAAUAUUGCACAAUGGGCGCAAGUCUGAUGCAGCCAUGCCGCGUGUAUGAAGAAGGCCUUCGGGUUGUAAAGUACUUUCAGCGGGGAGGAAGGUGUUGAGGUUAAUAACCUCAGCAAUUGACGUUACCCGCAGAAGAAGCACCGGCUAACUCCGUGCCAGCAGCCGCGGUAAUACGGAGGGUGCAAGCGUUAAUCGGAAUUACUGGGCGUAAAGCGCACGCAGGCGGUCUGUCAAGUCGGAUGUGAAAUCCCCGGGCUCAACCUGGGAACUGCAUUCGAAACUGGCAGGCUAGAGUCUUGUAGAGGGGGGUAGAAUUCCAGGUGUAGCGGUGAAAUGCGUAGAGAUCUGGAGGAAUACCGGUGGCGAAGGCGGCCCCCUGGACAAAGACUGACGCUCAGGUGCGAAAGCGUGGGGAGCAAACA
rnacentral:rRNA from 1 species